CAGCUUUUCAGGUGUGUCCUUU
rnacentral:miRNA from 1 species